rnacentral:misc_RNA from 1 species
GUAGGUGAACCUGCGGAAGGAUCAUUACCUUUCAAUGCAGCAGAAUUGGGAUGGUUGAGUUUCUCGCCUCUCAAUUCUGCCUGUAUUCUACCCUUGUUUGUCAUAUACUAUUAUUUCCUCGGCAGGCAAGCCUGCCGAGUGAAACCCAUUAUAACCUAUUUAAUUUUCAAUCAGCGUCUGAAAAAAUUAAUAAUUACAACUUUCAACAACGGAUCUCUUGGUUCUG